CUUGGUCAACUAUGGAGUUUCCACUUAUUUUGUGUCAUUGGAAGACAGGAUAAGUGAAAAGGAUUGAGAAGAGUGCUGUAGAUUGUGAUUUGCUACCUGGGACAAUUCUGUGAUAAGAUGCCUGGGAACAGUGUCAGUGAGCGAUAUCUUCAAAACAAAGUUGAGCAACAGCACUGUAGAACAAAAACUGGGCACAAAGCAGAAAGUGUGGAUUUGUAUGGGGCACAUAUAGAAUGGGCCAAGGAAAAAUCAAGCAGAAAGAAUGUC